CCACGUACACUACACCACAGGACAGGCGAUUAUGUGGUAGAUUUGGCUGUCCUGACGGUAGGUAUCAACAGCGGAUCUACUCCUCGGCAGGGCAGGUGGGAGGGAUUAGAGAAUCUGGGGGAGGGAAUGGAUCCCACAGUUGGCGCGUCACCUCCAAUGGCACUGCAUCCACCCGGUAAGCCUAUUCCAACAGUCACUCGCGUGACAGGCGGACCGCUGCUGUUGCAAGCUCUCCAACUAACGGGGGAAAUGCCAUCGCACCAAGCAUGGUGUCCUCCUGCUCUCCUGUGNNNNNNNNNNNNNNNNNNNNCGAUCGCCGGCGCCGGAGAUUUCACGAAAAAUAAGCCCCAAAAACAGAGUCUUUUCCCGACAAAAAAUCGGCGAUGUUCGUCGCCGGCCACCGCGCACAAACGCACAGGGGAAAGAGGAAGGAAGGGAGGAAAAAGAGAAAAACUUACUUCGGCCUCUUGGGAUCUCGUCGGAGAGAAAAUACGGCGAGAACCCAACUGUGCCCGCGGCUCUUCUUCGGGAAAAAUCGGAGAGAAAAAGAGGAUAAAAGAGUCGAUGGAUCGAUUCUAAAGAGAGGAGGUCUUCUUAUAGGAACUCCUAGGACUCCGAGGGGUCUUAGGAGUUCGAUUCUUGCUCGGAUUUAGCCGGAGAAGGAGACUCCUAUCGGGAGUCUUCUUUCCGGUUCUGAAUUCCUCUGUUUUCUAUUUUUUUUUUUAUUUUGAACUUUUGAUCUGCUGGACUGAAACGGAUUUUGGGCUAUAACACAAGGUCUUCUUUAGUUUGGUUGUGAACUACAGACGUUUUGUCUUCGAUCACGAUCUUCGUAGUACUAUAAUUGAAAGACUAAUUAACGUCUGAAACUGGAGAUGACCUUGACUCCGUUCCCUGUCGACCUUGCAAGGAGGGAAUCGACGUGAGUCACAGGAAACUGAACCAUUCAUCAGGUGCCAUGCCGGCGAAACAAUGGACACAGGGUUCGGCUUUUUUUUCCUUUUUUUUUUUUUAAAGAAUGGAACACAGGGUUCGACUUUCGGCUCACUGGUUUGCCCCGCCGGCGAACGAUGUUUGGAGUUUUUUUUUUUAAUUUUAUUUUUUGAUGGUAGAACGUUGCUGGCGCUUGCUAGGCGAUAGCAUGAGUUAAAAUCGCAGGUCACCAGGCCUCCUAAAUGCUGGAUGGAAUCCCGUCCGAAGACAAAACCGAUCAGCAUCGAUACCGUCACCUUUGGGCCCCAUCGCGGGCCCCACAAGUGUCUCUGGGCUCUGGACCCUAUGCUGGUACAACGGGACAGCUGUAUCCAAUCAGGUGCCACGCAGCCAUGCAAUGCUCACGUGUUCUAAGGUGGGUCCCACGUACACUACACCACAGGACAGGCGAUUAUGUGGUAGAUUUGGCUGUCCUGACGGUAGGUAUCAACAGCGGAUCUACUUCUCGGCAGGGCAGGUGGGAGGGAUUAGAGAAUCUGGGGGAGGGAAUGGAUCCCACAGUUGGCGCGUCACCUCCAAUGGCACUGCAUCCACCCGGUAAGCCUAUUCCAACAGUCACUCGCGUGACAGGCGGACCGCUGCUGUUGCAAGCUCUCCAACUAACGGGGGAAAUGCCAUCGCACCAAGCAUGGUGUCCUCCUG
rnacentral:lncRNA from 1 species